rnacentral:rRNA from 1 species
GACGAACGCUGGCGGCGUGCUUAACACAUGCAAGUCGAACGGUGAAGCGCCUUCCUUUUUGGUGGGUGUGGAUGAGUGGCGAACGGGUGAGUAACACGUGAGUAACCUGCCCCCUUCUUCUGGAUAACCGCAUGAAAGUGUGGCUAAUACGGGAUAUUCUGGGUCUGUCGCAUGAUGGGUCUGGGAAAGAUAUUGUUUCGGUGGGGGAUGGGCUCGCGGCCUAUCAGCGUGUUGGUGGGGUGAUGGCUUACCAAGGCGGUGACGGGUAGCCGGCCUGUGAGGUUGGACGGUCGCAGUGGGACUGAGUCCCGGCCCAGACUCCUACGGUAGGCAGCAGUGGGGAAUAUUGCACUAUGGGCGCAAGCCUGAUGCAGCGACGCCGCGUGAGAGAUGGAGGCCUUCGGGUUGUGAACCUCUUUCGCCAGUGAAGCAGGCCUGCCUCGUUUGUGGGUGGGUUGACGGUAGCUGGAUAAGAAGCGCCGGCUAACUACGUG